ACUACGGGCGGCAGCAGUGGGGAAUAUUGGGCAAUGGAGGAAACUCUGACCCAGCAACGCCGCGUGAAUGAUGAAGGUCUUCGGAUUGUAAAGUUCUUUUCUAAGGGAAGAAGAAAGUGACGGUACCUUAGGAAUAAGCCUCGGCUAACUACGUGCCAGCAGCCGCGGUAAGACGUAGGCGGCGAGCGUUAUCCGGAAUGACUGGGCGUAAAGGGUGCGUAGGUGGUUUGGCAAGUUAGUAGCGUAACUCCAAGGCUCAACCUUGUAACUACUACCAAAACUGUUUGACUUGAGUGCAGGAGGGGCAACUGGAAUUCCUAGUGUAGCGGUGGAAUGCGUAGAUAUUAGGAGGAACACCAGUGGCGAAGGCGGGUUGCUAGACUGUAACUGACACUGAGGCACGAAAGCGUGGGGAGCAAACAGGAUUAGAUACCCGUGUAGUC
rnacentral:rRNA from 1 species